UGGGGAAUAUUGGACAAUGGGCGAAAGCCCGAUCCAGCCAUGCCGCGUGUGUGAAGGAGGUCUUCGGAUUGUAAAGCACUUUAAGUUGGGAGGAAGGGCAGUAAGCGAAUACCUUGCUGUUUUGACGUUACCGACAGAAUAAGCACCGGCUAACUCUGUGCCAGCAGCCGCGGUAAUACAGAGGGUGCAAGCGUUAAUCGGAAUUACUGGGCGUAAAGCGCGCGUAGGUGGUUCGUUAAGUUGAAUGUGAAAGCCCCGGGCUCAACCUGGGAACUGCAUCCAAAACUGGCGAGCUAGAGUAGGGCAGAGGGUGGUGGAAUUUCCUGUGUAGCGGUGAAAUGCGUAGAUAUAGGAAGGAACACCAGUGGCGAAGGCGACCACCUGGGCUCAUACUGACACUGAGGUGCGAAAGCGUGGGGAGCAAACAGG
rnacentral:rRNA from 1 species